GAUGAACGCUGGCGGCGUGCCUAAUACAUGCAAGUCGAGCGAACGGACGAGAAGCUUGCUUCUCUGAUGUUAGCGGCGGACGGGUGAGUAACACGUGGAUAACCUACCUAUAAGACUGGGAUAACUUCGGGAAACCGGAGCUCAUACCGGAUAAUAUUUUGAACCGCAUGGUUCCAAAGUGAAAGACGGUCUUGCUGUCACUUAUAGAUGGAUCCGCGCUGCAUUAGCUAGUUGGUAAGGUAACGGCUUACCAAGGCAACGAUGCAUAGCCGACCUGAGAGGGUGAACGGCCACACGGGAACUGAGAAACGGUCCAGACUCCUACGGGAGGCAGCAGUAGGGAAUCUUCCGCAAUGGGCGAAAGCCUGACGGAGCAACGCCGCGUGAGUGAUGAAGGUCUUCGGAUCGUAAAACUCUGUUAUUAGGGAAGAACAUAUGUGUAAGUAACUGUGCACAUCUUGACGGUACCUAAUCAGAAAGCCACGGCUAACUACGUG
rnacentral:rRNA from 1 species